GCUGGAGAUCCCUGUCUACCUGAGGCUUUGCAAGGGCCACCACCUGGGGACAUCAGAGAUGCCAAUCUUUUCUAUUCUACUUGCUAACACCGAGUUGCUCUCUGUACUGUGGAGAAGCACCGUAACAGGGAGGGCGCUCGCUCUGAGGGCUCUGGGAUGAGGGGAUGGAUUCAAACCAUUUACCUUCAUACACUUUGAGGUUUGUGAAGAACUUUGGAAACGACUGUUCCAGCGCUUUCAAAACAGAGGUCUGUGCUCUGUUUAAGACAACCUCCCAGGCAGAACCGCGCAGCACUGGCACACGGCUCAGAGAACGGUUCGUCUGUUUAGCACUGCAUUCGACAUUAGCAUCCCCGGAUCGCCGUUCCUAACUUUGCACUUCAACUUUUGGUAACUCAGGACGGGACCGCCUGAGCUCUCCGGCCUCACCAGGCAGCAACCGAGCGUGGGGCUCACCAGGUGCCGCCCCGCUCUGUGAGGGGACGCAGCCUGGGGUCGGACGAGGAGCGAGCGCGACCGUU